rnacentral:lncRNA from 1 species
CAGUCCUUGGCUUGUGUGUGCAUCAUUCCUGUCUCUGUCGCCUCAUCCCAUGGCCUCAUCCCCCAUGUCUAUCUGCAUGUCCUUUCCUGUCUCUUACAAAGAUUUCAUGGAAUUAGGGCCCACCUCCAUCCAGCACGAUCUCAUCUCCAUCCUCACCUUAAAUUUUGCAAAGAUACUAUUUCCAAAGGAAUCAUAUCAGAUCUGGAGGUUCUGAAUGGGGGGGGGGGGGAGGAGGGACUCUUCAACCCACCGCACUCUCUUCCUGUUGCAGUUCCUGUUUGUGAUUAUCACGUGUCUGUGUCAGGUGAUGGUCCUGUCCCUAAGAGUGAGGCUAUCUUCAUUCUGGACCAUCAGCCACUGGUGCCAAGCCCCUCAAGCAAGAACUCCAAGCACAUAUCCAUUAGCCACAUUGGACUCCUCACUGGCCUUCCACCUCUUCUGCUCCAGGACCUUUGCACCAGCUGUUCCCUCUGUGCAAUUUCUUUAUUGAUUAUGUUUCCUGCUCACUGUCUAGAAAGUUGGCCCCAUGAAAACAGGGAUCCUCACCCAUUCUGUACAUUUGUGCUUCUCAAAGUUUUAGAAUAGUGCUUGGCACAUAGCAGAUGCUCAACAAAUACUUAUUGAAUAUAAAAAAUUGAAUGAAGACUCCUGUUCUGGUUUAGCCUGUGGAGAAGAAUGGUCUGGCCAUUCACUGUGAUGUGCCUUAGCUCUUUCUGGCUCACAGGACCCCAGAUUCCCUGACCCUCCCAUGUCCAUGCAGAUGGAAGGCUUUGGUCUGAAAUAGCAAGCCACCCAUUCCCAGGCAUCCUG